rnacentral:tRNA from 1 species
AGGGCUAUAGCUCAGUUGGUAGAGCACCUCGUUUAUACGGUUCGAGUCCGUAUAGCCCUA